rnacentral:rRNA from 1 species
GUCCACGCCCUAAACGAUGCUGACUAGUUGUUCGGGAUUUACAUCCUGAGUAACGUAGCUAACGCGUGAAGUCAGCCGCCUGGGGAGUACGGUCGCAAGAUUAAACUCAAAGGAAUUGACGGGGACCCGCACAAGCGGUGGAUGAUGUGGAUUAAUUCGAUGCAACGCGAAAACCUUACCUACCCUUGACAUGUCACUAACGAAGUAGAGAUACAUUAGGUGCUCGUAAGAGAAAGUGAACACAGGUGCUGCAUGGCUGUCGU